GACGAACGCUGGCGGCGUGCUUAACACAUGCAAGUCGAGCGGAGCGGCGAACGGGUGAGUAACGCGUGAGUAACUGCCCCCCUCUCUGGGAAAACAGUUGGAAAAGGCUGCUAAUAACGGAUAGUGGGGGGGGACUCGCGUCCUAGCAGCUUGUUGGUGGGGUAGGGGCGUACCAAGGCGACGACGGGUAGCCGGCCUGAGAGGGCGACCGGCCACAUUGGGCUGAGCUACGGCCCAGACUCCUGCGGGAGGCAGCAGUGGGGAAUAUUGCACUAUGGGGGAAACCCUGCUGCAGCAACGCCGCGUGCGGGAUGACGGCCUUCGGGUUGUAAACCGCUUUCAGCAAUGACGCGGUAGUGGCAGAAGAAGCACCGGCUAACUACGUGCCAGCAGCCGCGGUAAUUC
rnacentral:rRNA from 1 species